GUGUCAGCCGCCGCGGUAAAACGUAGGAGCCUAGCGUUAUCCGAAUUCACUGGGCGUAAAGCGCGUGCAGGCGGUUCGGUAAGUUGGAUGUGAAAUCUCCUGGCUCAACUGGGAGAGGACGUUCAAGACUGUCGGACUAGAGGACGGUAGAGGAAGGUAGAAUUCCCGGUGUAGUGGUGAAAUGCGUAGAUAUCGGGAGGAAUACCAGUGGCGAAGGCGGCCUUCUGGGCCGUUCCUGACGCUCAGACGCGAAAGCUAGGGGAGCAAACGGGAUUAGAAACCCUAGUAGUCC
rnacentral:rRNA from 1 species